rnacentral:lncRNA from 1 species
GUCAAUUACCCGUAUACAUAUAUGUUGAAUUACAUAUUAUUGUUGAGCAAGAUUAAAAACCUUCGGGUUUGGAACCAGGCAUGUAUGAACAUCCCGAUAAUGGGAAAAUUUUUAUGCGCUUCGGCGGACAAAGGGUGAGCGAUGAAUUUCGUUCAAGUUAUGUAGUAUUGAUCAAUACAGGGUACAACGGGGCUGAUCACCCUCCGUGCCCGUAAGUUAUGACGGUUUGCGGAUGAAUUUCUGCUAAACCUUUUCGAAAAUGAAAAACCAUGUUCAUAGUAUGUUUCUUAAACCCUAUUCAUGGGUGGAGCCUAAUUUCAAGAAAUUGAAAGAGAGUUGUUAUGUGAAUUUUUUAUCAGUACAGAUUACUUCACAACUUUCGAUUCGUUGUAGAAGUGUUAUGUAAAGAGAAUACUUAUAUUCUUUCAGCUUAUAUAUAUAAUUGCUAUUACUUGCUGGGCACUCAAAUGCUCAUCCUUGCUUAAACUAAAUGUUUUCAGUUACGUACGAUCGACCUGAAGGCUCAGGCACGAACAAGGGAAAAGAAAAGCUGUUCGAAUGAGAUUUAGUAUGAGUUAAUGGUUAUAGUUAGUAAGACAAUGGAAUCUAUUGUCAGGUAUUGUAAGGAAUGUAUUUGAAGGUCACGUACCUGGGGAAGUAAACUUUGAUGUAUGUAAAUUAAGUUCGAAUGUAUUAUUAUUUAGUAUUAUUCAGCUUAAAGAAAUGGUAUCGUGGAGAACCGAGUUCGGGUUUCAAGUACCCGGAUUUGGGGUCGCCACAGGUUGGUAUCAAAGCUGUAGGUUAUAAACGUUAGGAAUACGAAACCUAGGUUAUAACCUUAGUAGAAUAAAGGACGAAAGUUAAGAUAGAUAUUCAGUGAACCAUGAGAUGAAGUACUCUGGUGAGAAGUUAUAGGAUAUGAUGAGUCGAAGAGAUUCAUCAAGUGGUACUAAAUAAAAUAUUCCUUCAUUUUAUCGAUGAAUAUAUUUUAUUUCGGUACUAAUGUUGUCUCGUUUAUUGUGGUCAUAAGAUGAAUGACAAAAGUCAAGAUAGUAAUUCCUUGACCCAAGAGACGAUGGACUCUAACGAGGAGUACACAG